rnacentral:rRNA from 1 species
GGCCUCCCAUGGUGGUAACGGGUAACGGGGUGUUAGGGCACGACACCGGAGAGGGAGCCUGAGAAACGGCUACCACAUCCAAGGAUGGCAGCAGGCGCGCAAAUUACCCAAUCCCGACACGGGGAGGUAGUGACAAUAAAUAACAAUACGGGGUUCUUUCGGAUUUCGUAAUUGGAAUGAGUACAAUUUAAAUCUCUUAACGAGGAACAAUUGGAGGGCAAGUCUGGUGCCAGCAGCCGCGGUAAUUCCAGCUCCAAUAGCGUAUAUUAAAGUUGCUGCAGUUAAAAAGCUCGUAGUUGAAUUUCGGGACCAUCAUGUCGGUCGUGCCUCGGUACGUACUGGCAUUGUUGGUUUCUCCCUUCUGACGAACCAUGAUGUCAUUUAUUUGGUGUUGUGGGAAAUCAGGACUGUUACUUUGAAAAAAUUAGAGUGUUUAAGGCAGGCUCACGCUUGAAUACAUUAGCAUGGAAUAAUGAAAUAGGACGUUUGAUUCUAUUUUGUUGGUUUCUAGGAUCGACGUAAUGAUUAAUAGGGAUAGUUGGGGGCAUUAGUAUUCAAUUGUCAGAGGUGAAAUUCUUGGAUUUAUUGAAGACUAACUACUGCGAAAGCAUUUGCCAAGGAUGUUUUCAUUAAUCAAGAGCGAAAGUUAGGGGAUCGAAGACGAUCAGAUACCGUCGAAGUCUUAACCAUAAACUAUGCCGACUAGGGAUCGGAUGAUGUUAAUUUUUUAAUGACUCAUUCGGCGCCUUACG